rnacentral:rRNA from 1 species
GUCGAACGGUGAAGCCCUUCGGGGUGGAUCAGUGGCGAACGGGUGAGUAACUACGUGGGCAAUCUGCCCUGCACUCUGGGACAAGCCCUGGAAACGGGGUCUAAUACCGGAUAUGACCUUCCUCCGCAUGGGGGUUGGUGGAAAGCUCCGGCGGUGCAGGAUGAGCCCGCGGCCUAUCAGCUUGUUGGUGGGGUAAUGGCCUACCAAGGCGACGACGGGUAGCCGGCCUGAGAGGGCGACCGGCCACACUGGGACUGAGACACGGCCCAGACUCCUACGGGAGGCAGCAGUGGGGAAUAUUGCACAAUGGGCGAAAGCCUGAUGCAGCGACGCCGCGUGAGGGAUGACGGCCUUCGGGUUGUAAACCUCUUUCAGCAGGGAAGAAGCGCAAGUGACGGUACCUGCAGAAGAAGCACCGGCUAACUACGUGCCAGCAGCCGCGGUAAUACGUAGGGUGCGAGCGUUGUCCGGAAUUAUUGGGCGUAAAGAGCUCGUAGGCGGCCUGUCGCGUCGGAUGUGAAAGCCCGGGGCUUAACCCCGGGUCUGCAUUCGAUACGGGCAGGCUAGAGUGUGGUAGGGGAGAUCGGAAUUCCUGGUGUAGCGGUGAAAUGCGCAGAUAUCACGAGGA